rnacentral:rRNA from 1 species
GCCAGUUGCCAACGGGUGAAGCCGGGCACUCUGGCGGGACUGCCAUCGACAAGAUGGAGGAAGGUGGGGAUGACGUCAAGGUCAUCAUGGCCCUUAUGUCCAGGGCGACACACGUGCUACAAUGGCCGGCACAGCGGGAAGCGAGGCAGUGAUGCCAAGCGGAUCCCUUAAAGCCGGUCUACAGUUCGGAUUGAAGUCUGCAACUCGACUUCAUGAAGCUGGAAUCGCUAGUAAUCGCAGAUCAGCCAAGCUGCGGUGAAUACGUUCCCGGGCCUU